UGUCACAUUCCAGCAGGGUUUCUGGGCUUGUGCACGGGUGGGGGUUGCCGGGAGUCCUUCUAUUUAGAGUCAGGACAGAAAGCUCUUCUGUGGCCCAGAAAUCUUUGAAACUGUAUUUGGAUCUCUCCCAGCUGGUGGCCACUGUGAAUUGUAAUUUGAAAGGAAUCAACCAGAAGCACUUUCUUUCCGUUGCUAGCUGGGGAACUACCCCAGGACCUGCGCUUUAUUCUCUGGAGAGCCUGUGUGGGGUUGCGAUGUUAUGCAAAUUGAGCUUAAAAGACACCAAGCGAAGAGGAAAUCGAAAUCAACAGAGUAAACUCGUAUGAAAUCUGGAGCAUUCACCACACCAGGAUCUUAAAAUCUGGGGUUUUAAGGAUGCAUAGGAGCCAAGAUGUCAGAAUGUGACCAGAAGUUGGAAAAAAAGAUGCCCACAUCAAAUAAGUACUGAAAAGAUGAGGAAAAAGAAGUUGAUUUCCAGGAAAGAAAAACGAAUAAUCUGGGGAGCUGAAGAGAUAACUUAUUGGUUAAGAGCGUGUGUUGCUUUUCUGGAGAACUCAGGUUUAAUCACUAGCACCUACAUGGUAGCUCACAAGCAUCUAUAACUACAAUCCGAGAAUAUCUAAUUCCCUCUCC
rnacentral:lncRNA from 1 species